GACACAUGAGACAUCAGUAAUUCUAUUUCGAACAUGCUCAAUUUGAAAUGGGCAUUAGAUAUCUGAUAUGGUUUGGAUCUGUGUCCCCACCCAAAUCUCCUGUUCAAUGGAGUGAGUUCUGGAGGGAUCCAACUGUUUGAAAGUGUGGGACAUCUCCCCAUUCCCUGUCUUGCUCCUGGUCCUGCCAUGUGAGACGCCUGCUCCCGCUCUGCCUUCUGCCAUGAGUGAAAGCUCCCUGAGGC
rnacentral:lncRNA from 1 species